UACGGAAGGGGCAAGCGUUGUUCGGAAUCAUUGGGCGUAAAGGGCGUGUAGGUGGUUCUGUAUGUCUACCGUGAAAGCGUACGGCUCAACCGUAUUUAGUCGGUAGAAACUGCAGGACUUGAGGCUGGGAGGGGCUGGUGGAAUUCCCCGUGUAGCGGUGAAAUGCGUAGAGAUGGGGGAGAACACUCGUGGCGAAGGCGGCCAGCUAGACCAGUUCUGACACUGAGGCGCGAUAGCGUGGGGAGCGAACGGG
rnacentral:rRNA from 1 species